rnacentral:rRNA from 1 species
GACGAACGCUGGCGGCGUGCUUAACACAUGCAAGUCGAACGGAAAGGCCCUGCUUUUGUGGGGUGCUCGAGUGGCGAACGGGUGAGUAACACGUGAGUAACCUGCCCUUGACUUUGGGAUAACUUCAGGAAACUGGGGCUAAUACCGGAUAGGAGCUCCUGCUGCAUGGUGGGGGUUGGAAAGUUUCGGCGGUUGGGGAUGGACUCGCGGCUUAUCAGCUUGUUGGUGGGGUAGUGGCUUACCAAGGCUUUGACGGGUAGCCGGCCUGAGAGGGUGACCGGCCACAUUGGGACUGAGAUACGGACCAGACUCCUACGGGAGGCAGCAGUGGGGAAUAUUGCACAAUGGGCGGAAGCCUGAUGCAGCAACGCCGCGUGCGGGAUGACGGCCUUCGGGUUGUAAACCGCUUUCGCCUGUGACGACGCGUGAGUGACGGUAAUGGGUAAAGAAGCACCGGCUAACUACGUG